rnacentral:lncRNA from 7 species
AGCAGGUGAGAGCUGAAAAGAACCUGGCCAGAUUAAAUAACCCAACAAUGGCAAUUUGAGGUCGUUUUCAUCACACUGACAGUAUUGCUGCCUACAGUGAAAUUGAAAUAGUGAGCCAAGGAGCUCAGCUCGCCUUGACUCCUCAAGCUUCUCCCCAUAAGUGGCUCUUGAUGAAGAUUGCAACAAACCCAAAGCAAUGGCUCGGGCAGCAACCUCAGCCUGGGAUGUGCAGAGCUUCGAGGCCGCGCACAGCACCCCCUUGGAGCAGAGCCAUGCGCUCAGGAGGGCUGAGGCUCUCCCCAGCUCUGUGCUCACUGCUCCUCUGCCCUCACAGCUCUGGACAAAGCCUUGCUGAGCACAUCAGCUGUGGGGUACAGAGCCCCAGCAUGGCCUGGGAGAGCUGGAGGUGCUUAGGAAGGAUCACAGCCCGAACGGAGGCUUCUGGAAGAGAGCCCACAUGAGGGUGAUGGUGUUUCUCUAACCCCGUAUUGACUUUGGCUUCCAGAAUCAAUUUUCUUUAUUAGCUGAUGAAUCUCUUCAAAGACUUUCUGUACUGAAUCUAGAUAAAUUAUUUAAGCAGUAAAUUCCUUCCACUCCAGCACAGUUACAGUGUGGUGAUUUAAUAGGGAAGAGAGGCAGAGAGGUUUAGGGACAAGGUCACAGCGAGCAGAACAUCUGAGCAGUAAUAGGUUUGCUAAUAAGUGAUCGUACACCAAAGAACAGAGUGUAAAACAGAUGCAAUUAUUAAGAAACAGAUAUUCAGCAAAAGACUGGGAUUAGUGGCGAAUACGAGGAGCAAGUCAUCAGAGACCGUAGUCUUAAUUAUUUACGCAAGCAAAUUGCUGUCAAUGAGAGGAGCCACGUAUCUGAUUCAGGAGCUGGUGGACACGUUCCUGGUGCUGUAUGGGCUGCAGACCUACAGACACACCGGGAGCUGCUGCAGGAGGAGAUGCACAAAGGCACAAGCAGCAGCACAGCAGUGAGUUCGCAAACAUCCACGCAGCACUCGUGGUUCCAGGAGCGUGCUUGCCCACGGGCACGAUAAUUUGCUAAUUGGCAACUUAAUUGUCACUGGGGGGGCUGGGCCAGAGGGUGCUCCUACCAGGGCCUCAUCCCAGCCUGCUGCAAGCCUCCUGCUCUGCACACCUGUUGGGCUGAGGGAGUUUCGAGGCCACAGUGAGCUGAAGAACAACAGAAUAAGAAAUAAUUCUGCCUUUGAGAACGAUGUUGGAGCACGAGGUCGGAGAAUUCAAAUGUAUUUAUAGCCAGCAAAAGGAAAUGAUUGUGUUAAACGGCAGCUGAAGGAUGCAGGGACCCAACAGAACCAUUGGCUGCAGCCAUCCAUAAUGUCACUGGGAAGG